rnacentral:lncRNA from 1 species
ACCCACUACACGACGGUUCACUUACAGCGACCUACGGUUGGUUGCUAAAACGGCCUUCAGCGACCUACGGUUGGUCGCUAAAAACUUUUAGCGACCCAUAAGGAUGGUCGCUGUAAGUGCCGUCGCUAAAGGCUUUAGCGACCGACAUCUUUUUAGCGACCAACCAUCCGUUGCUAAUAUUGUAUAUUUAGCGACCAACCGUGGGUUGUUGUACUAUAGAUUUAGCAACCAACCGUAAGUCGUCAUACUAUACAUUUAGCAACCAACAGAAAGUCGCCCUUUUAUAGUUGUUAUUAAUAAAAAAUAUACAUUUAAUUAAGCACCACAAAUCACAGAUUUUUAUACACAAAUCAUAAAGACAUACACAGUUAAUCAGUAUACCACAGUCAUAAAUCCAUCACAUAAACACAAAAGCACCACAAUUAUAUAUUCACAAAAGUAUCACAAUUAUAAUAUCAUUCACAACUAGAUCAUUUACAAAUAGCUAGCUAGAUCAUUCACAAAAGCUCCAGAGAUGAUCAGUCACAAAAGCACCACAGCGACAUCACUCCAGCUUGAAGCAGUUCUUCUCGUCUUCUGUUUUGUCUUACUUGUCUUCCUUCUUCUCUUGCUGUUUAAGAAGAGAAAUAAAGAAACCUUCAUAUUUCCACAUACAUACAUUACUAGACUAGUCAAGAUUCGUAAAUACAGGAUAGCAGUUCAUGUGAACUGGGUUUUGUUGCUUUGGGCAUAUUUCAUUUUCACCAAACCAGUGUAUCCAGACCACAAAUGGGUACACAACAAUUUGACUCAAUACCUGCUUUGUAUAAAGUAUUUGUGUGCUCUCACCAGGUAAUGUUCUACUAUUUCCAUUCCAUAAGAUCAAUUGUGCUUGUGGAACAUAAAGAACUCCAUAUGCUAUCCUAAACAGCAGGGGCAGAGCUCAGAAAUCGGUGGAUCCUAGAGCUGUGGUUUGUUUAGUUGAGUUGUUUUCUUUCUAUUCUACACAGAAGACAGCAUAGCAAGAUCCUUCAUUGGAGCAUACAAACUCCAGAUAAGGUGGAGCUCAGAGCUGGGGCUAAACGUGGGCCUUAUGCCCUGUUUGGAUCCAUCAGCUACUAAUAGUUUGCUAGCUAAUAGUUCAUAGCUAAUAUUAGCUAGUUUGGUCCAACUAGUGAAAUAGUUGUUAGUUGGGUAUUCAGAUAACAAUUAGCUAGACCUGUUUGGAUCCAAAGAGCUAAUUAUUAACAUCUAAUUAUUAAAUCUUGCAAUGGUUUUUUUGUAGCUGUGCAUAGCCAUUGCUUGCAUAUACUAACUGUGUAUUUGCAUGAAGAUUUGGUGAUAGAUAAUAUAUUUAUUCUUAUUUAAUCAAGGUGAAGCUGAACAAUGCUAUAGCCUAGAGGCAACAUGAAUUUCAUUGCAUCACAAUACAGAGACCUUCACUGGAACCCAUAAAAGAACAUACCUCUCCCUGGUUGUGCAAUGAUGCCAACAAAUCUUUAACAGAUGGAUCAUUGGGAUCAACACCAGGAAGCUGUUAUUUUACACAUAAAAGGGCCAAUAAAUUAUUGAAGCUACAACUAAAAUGUAUGCGCUAGAAACAUAUCAGUGUCACUAUAAAGCAGUGGUUUUUCAUUUGUCACUACUAGAAUUAAUUGAUAGCAACAAAUACUGUAUGCGCUAGAACUGUAGAAGCUGCAAACAUAAGAGAAAACACACCCAACGCUAAGUCAGGGUCAACUGCACUAGCUUCUGCCAUAGCAGAGUCAGUCACAGCUGCAGAUCCUGAAGCACCACCCUCCAUUGACAUUGCAAGUGCCUGCUGUAGUAAAUCGUCAUCAUCAUGUGGUCACAGCUAUGUUUGCAGCUAUGGGCGCCCUAUCAAAAGAAUGUAAGCUGACAUAAGUAUUUCUAAUGUAACCAUAUACAUAAUAUGGCAUAGCAAAGAUAUAUAUAUGUACAAUAGAGUAGCAUCGCUGGAUUACACAGCAACCACCAAGGCUAUUAUUUAGCCCCACGCAAAGAUAUAUAUAUUGGCGAGGCAGAUGUGAGCUCAUAAAUGUGUUUAGGUAGAAAAGGAGUGGAUUCAAAACUGAAUGAUUACAUUAGUUCGCAUAGGAGUUCAGUGAAAAAUUUAUGUAUGUCCUAUAGCCAUCUAAAACAUUCAGGUAGCAGUAUGAAACUUUUGACCAUAGCGAGGACACAUCUUUUAUUAUUUAUUUUUGCAUCAAUCAUGUAUCCACAAUCUAUGGAGCACAAAGUCCACCACAAGAUCAUUACACAGCUAAAAAAUGAAGGAGAUGUUUACAACAGCACACAAUUAUAGAAUGAGAUGAAAAGAUCUUGAAUUUAUUAGCCCUUCCUUUUUUGCAAGAAAUUGAUACUAUUAACACUUAAGCAUACCCCAGAGAGCACUCUUAAGCUUUUCAACUCAUAUUGGAGGACUCGAUGAACCUAGUGUCUGGAAGCCACCCACAAUAAUAGGAUGUGUGCUAGAAAUAUGCGGAAACUAUCCAUACUGAAUAAUGUGUAAUAAAAGAUAAUCGUUAAUGAUUAAACUGUAUUGAUCUCGCAACAAUUGAGGAGUUGAUUUGCACCUUCUAACAAGUAAUUAAGUACCAAAUGGAGGAUAGGGAAAUGCAGGGAAUAAAUCGUACAAUGGGAAAAUGAUAAGUAAAUAUGUAAGAAAAACAGAUACAGUUAAGUUAACAAUAUAAAAUCGGGAUGGCAAGGUCAUAAGCUAUAUAUUAAAAGAGAAAGUUUGCACUAAAUAUAUAGGGUAAGCACUAUAUGGGUGAUCAGGAAUCAGGUUAGGAGUAAUAGUAGAAGAAGAUAUUACUCGGAGCUUGACAACACACUCCACGACUGAAAAAAUGAAAAUCUUGCAACGAACGACUGGAAACUCGGUGAACAGAUACCGCACACCCCCACCAUCAUCCCAAAAUUCUUACUUUGGCAAGUUCUCAAUAACAAAUGUCAUGUAGCCAAUAUGAAAUGUGGUCUGUCCUUUCACAUAAUUUUUUCAUAAACCAAAAGAGGGGUAGGUAGGAGAGAAGAUGAGCAUAGCAUACCUUUCAAUAACCAACUUCACGUUGUAAUGUGCAGUUUGCAGGCCUGAGAGUAGUCAUUUGUCAAAUGCAACAUUCUGUAAAAUUCAAGUAUUAGAUCGCAAGCUCAUUCUAUCUAGGUGCAGAAACAUAGUUUAUGACACUGAAGUGGUACACACCUAGAGACCAAAUAUUGGAUUUAGUACCAUAUGGUAUAUCAGCAAGAAGUUCUAGGCACAUAUAACUCGGUGUUACUACCACCUUUGUUGGAGAAAAUACGGUAACAAGAAACACCAGCAAAUAAAUGCAAGACUAAAAAUUUUUCAAGUAUACUUAUAGAAGACACAAGAUCAUCUGAUGUCAAUACAUUGGCAAGACCAAAGUUACCUGCAUUUGCACAUAUUCAGAAUGAAUAUCAUUGGGAUUUCUGAAUUCAUACAUAAAGUAUUGUACUUUUUCUAAGCUUAAGUCACUGACCAAGGCAUAUGCUUUUAUCUCUGGCAAUAAAUAUACUGGAGCACUGAAAUAAACCAAGAAGUUUCAAUUGGGGCUAAUUACAUGCCUUAGGACGGAGGGGAAAUACCAUGUACUUGAAAUCAAUCGAGCACUGCUACUGACCUUGAAAUUUCCAAUAACAAUUCAAAUGUAACAACCUUGAAAUUUUAUAAGCGCAGAACAAUUGGCAGCAGCGACCAACUAACCGCUCCACAUUGGCUCGCGCUCUCCCGUCGCCGUGAGGAGACCUGGACCCCUGGGGCGGCCGCGGGCGGUUUCCUUGAUCUGCUGACUCGCCGCACCUGGCACUAGCGCACCUCUGCAUGUUGCAGGCUUGCACUGCAUCAGCAAGCGUGCAAACUCUAAGGGAAUGCUUGGUCCCCUAUUUGGGUCCGUCCCUGCAACCUGCUUCCAAGAACCACAACAAAUGCAGGAGGGAGCAGGGAGAUGGGGGUGGAUUCACAGACCGAGAAAAAGGGCGGUACCAUGGCGAGAGCGGAUCCUGGAUAGGCGCGAGCGAGAAGUUGUAGUUUGCGUCGAGGUCGGCGGAGCAAGGAGUUACAAAUGGCGAGAGCUUGACGACGAAGUGUCAGUCGGAAUCCGCGUCCCUGCUCUGCCACCUACGCCCUGCGGUGCUACUGUUGUUGCCCUGGCGGCUAGGGUUGAGGGCGGAGGCGGCAUGGUGGCGCCGUCGAGAGAAGGGGAGAAGAGGGGGUAGGGUUUGCUUUUUUCAAUAGAAGUGAUUUUGAUUUGGACGAGUUGCUGAGUUGGGCCUGUUCGGGCCAAAUUUUUUUAGCCACCAACAGUCACAUGUCAAUCAAUAGCAACCAACCGCCGGAUGUCCACCUGUCUCUAUAGCGACCAACCUUGAGUAGUUAAAUUUCUAGACUUUUAGCGACCGAUGGCCCGUCGCUACAAAUGCAUUUAGCGACCAACUGUCGGUACAUAACUUUUAGCGACCAACCGUCUGUCCCUAAUAAGGGUCGCUAAAGAUCAACCGUCGUAUAGUGACCAUCUAGCCACGUCUGGACAUGCGCACAACACGGUGAACGGGCACUAGGGUC